rnacentral:rRNA from 1 species
UUUUCCUACGGGGGGCAGCAGUAGGGAAUUUUCGUCAAUGGGCGCAAGCCUGAACGAGCAAUGCCGCGUGUACGAGGAAGGUCUUCGGAUCGUAAAGUUCUGUUGAAGGGGAAAAAGAGCGGAGAGAGGAAAUGGUCUCCGAUUGAUAUUACCCUUCGAGGAAGUCACGGCUAACUACGUGCCAGCAGCCGCGGUAAUACGUAGGUGGCGAGCGUUAUCCGGAUUUACUGGGUGUAAAGGGCGCGUAGGCGGAUGUGCAAGUCAGUCGUGAAAUACCGGGGCUCAACCCCGGGGCUGCGAUUGAA